rnacentral:rRNA from 1 species
GGGGGAAAAUUAAUUAAAUUUAAAUUAAUAAAAUAAAUUUUAAUAUUAAAAUAAAAUAAUGGGGGUUAAAGUAUUUUAAUAGAAAAAAUUUAUAAAUUUAUAGUUAAAUAGUAUUGUAGAAGAAAUUUUAAAUAUAUGAAAAUUAAUUAAUAAAAAAGAAAAUUUAAUUUAUUGUAUCUUGUGUAUCAGAGUUUAUUAAAAAUAUUUUUUUUUUAUAAAAAAAUCUCGAAUUUAAAAGAGUUAAUUAAUUAUAAAAGUUAAUAUAACAUAAUUAUUUUAAAUAAUUGAUUGGAAAUGAAAUGUUAAUCGUUUUUAAAUAUAUCUAGUUUUUUUAGAAAAAAAUUUAAUUUUAAAUUAAAAUAAUUUUAUAAUUUAUUAAUUAAUUAUAAAAAUUUUAAAUUUAAUAUUUUAAGGGAUAAGCUUUAAAUUAAAAAAUUAUAAUAAAAUAAUUUAAAUUAAAAUUUUUAAAAUUUAUAUUGUUUAAAAAUUAUAAUUUAUUAUAAAAAAUUUUAAUAAAAAUAAAAUUUAAUAAAAAUUUAAUUUUUUAUAAAAAAAUAAUUUUUAAUUAUAAAAGAUUAGUAAUAAUGAUAAAAUUAGUAUAAAUUAUAAAAAAAGAUUUAUAAAAUUAAUAAAAUAUAAAUUUAAUUAAAAGGAAUCCGGCAAAUUUAAAUAUUCACUUGUUUAUCAGAAACAUGUCUUUUUGAAAAUAAUUUAAAGUCUAAUCUGCCCCACUGAUUUUAUUAAAGGGCUGCAGUAUAUUGACUGUACAAAGGUAGCAUAAUCAUUAGUUUUUUAAUUGGAAACUUGUAUGAAAGAUUUAAUGAAAUAUUAACUGUCUCUUAAUUAUUAUUAAAACUUUAUUUUUUAGUAAAAAAGCUAAAAUAAAUUUAAAAGACGAGAAGACCCUAUAGAGUUUUAUAUUUAAUUUUAUUUUGAAAAUAUAUAAAAUUUAAUAUAAAAUAAAGUUAAAUAUUAUAUUGGGGUGAUAGAAAAAUUUAAUAAACUUUUUUUAAAUUAUAAACAUAAAUAAAUGAAUAAAUGAUCCAUAAAUAAUGAUUAUAAGAAAAAAUUACCUUAGGGAUAACAGCGUAAUAUUUUUUUUUAGUACAAAUAAAAAAAAAAGUUUGCGACCUCGAUGUUGGAUUAAGAUAAAAUUUAAACGCAAAAGUUUAAAAUUUUGAUCUGUUCGAUCAUUAAAAUCUUACAUGAUCUGAGUUCAAACCGGUGUAAGCCAGGUUGGUUUCUAUCUUUAAAAAAUUAAAAUAUUUUA